AGUCUAUCGGUCCAGUGGAGUGGACGCUGCCCUGUCACGGCAGAGAUCACGGGUUCGAGUCCCGUAUAGACUG
rnacentral:tRNA from 5 species